AGUUUUCCCAAAGAUUUAUUGAAGCAGAAACAAGUUGGUCAAAUACUUGCUAGAAAAAAAAGCAGUUUUAAUGAUAUUCAAAAUACUUUUUAAAAAGUAUCCUAGCACAAGAUUUUUCUGUAAACUAGAUUAUAUUGUAAACUUUUUUCUAAACCUUUUAGGAGGGUCGGUUGUUAAGAACUAGAGCCUAUUUCUAUUCCAAAUCUAUCUUGCGCUCCUGAAAAACUGCAGAAAGGCACUUGAAAGCUGUUUCUUUAAGAUAUGGAUUUUUUUGUUAUUCUUGCUGGUAAUAUAUUGCUCCACAGAGUGUGGGCAAUUUUUAUUCAAGGUCAUCAUGAUGCUGAGAAGUUUCGUUGAUAACCUGUUUAAAAAAACAAACCAAAAUAAAUAUAAUGCCACAUGCUAAAGAUUAAAUUAUCCUCUAUAUCAUGGCAGAUAAAAAUCUUGCUAAAUAUAUAUAAUUUAUUGUGCAACUCAGAAGGUUAUGUUGGUUCUACAAGAGUGAAAGCUAGGAGGGACAGACAUAUGAGACUCUCUUCUACUAAAGGCAAUAUAAGUAUCCAGUGGAAUGUUGUAACUUACAAAAAGACAUUCUUU